AUUGAACGCUGGCGGCAGGCUUAACACAUGCAAGUCGAACGAGUGGCGGACGGGUGAGUAAUGUCUGGGAAACUGCCUGAUGGAGGGGGAUAACUACUGGAAACGGUAGCUAAUACCGCAUACCAUCAGAUGUGCCCAGAUGGGAUUAGCUUGUUGGUGGGGUAACGGUGCACCAAGGGGACGAUCCCUAGCUGGUCUGAGAGGAUGACGAGCCACACUGGAACGGAGACACGGUCGAGACUCCUACGGGAGGCAGCAGUGGGGAAUAUGGCACAAUGGGGGCAGGCCUGAUGCAGCCAUGCCGCGUGUAUGAAGAAGGCCUUCGGGUUGUAAAGUACUUGCAGCGGGGAGGCGUUACCCGCAGAAGAAGCACCGGCUAACUCCGUGCCAGCAGCCGCGGUAAUUC
rnacentral:rRNA from 1 species